AUUUAAGUAGUUUAAAAAAAACAUUGAUUUGUGGAAUCAAAAAUAUUAUGAAAAUCUUAAAUA
rnacentral:tRNA from 1 species